rnacentral:rRNA from 1 species
GAUCCUGGCUCAGGAUGAACGCUAGCGGCAGGCUUAACACAUGCAAGUCGAGGGGCAGCGCGAGUAGCAAUACUUGGCGGCGACCGGCGCAAGGGUGCGUAACGCGUGAGCAACAUGCCCGUAUCAGGGGGAUAAUCCAGGGAAACUUGGUCUAAUACCCCAUAGUAAUUUUGUAAGGCAUCUUAUAAGAUUUAAAGCUUUGGUGGAUACGGAUUGGCUCGCGUGACAUUAGCUGGAUGGUAAGGUAACGGCUUACCAUGGCUAUGAUGUCUAGGGGUUCUGAGAGGAAGGUCCCCCACACUGGAACUGAGACACGGUCCAGACUCCUACGGGAGGCAGCAGUGAGGAAUAUUGGACAAUGGAUGGAAAUCUGAUCCAGCCAUGCCGCGUAGAAGGAAGAAGGUCCUAUGGAUUGUAAACUUCUUUUGUAUGGGAGCAAUAAGGCCUACGAGUAGGUUGAUGAGAGUACCAUACGAAUAAGCACCGGCUAACUCCGUGCCAGCCGCGGC